UUGGCGGACGGGUGAGUAACGCGUGGGUAACCUGCCUUGUACUGGGGGACAACAGUUGGAAACGACUGCUAAUACCGCAUAAGCGCACAGCUUCGCAUGAAGCGGUGUGAAAAACUCCGGUGGUACAAGAUGGACCCGCGUCUGAUUAGCUGGUUGGUGAGGUAACGGCCCACCAAGGCAACGAUCAGUAGCCGGCCUGAGAGGGUGAACGGCCACAUUGGGACUGAGACACGGCCCAA
rnacentral:rRNA from 1 species